rnacentral:tRNA from 1 species
GGUUUUAUGGUGUAUGUAACAUAGUAGACUGCAAUUCUGCUGAAAUUAUUAAUUAAUUAAAACCU